GAUGAACGCUGGCGGCGUGCCUAAUACAUGCCAGUCGAGCGAACAGAUCAGGAGCUUGCUCCUUUGACGUUAGCGGCGGACGGGUGAGUAACACGUGGGUAACCUACCUAUAAGACUGGGAUAACUUCGGGAAACCGGAGCUAAUACCGGAUAACAUUUGGAACCGCAUGGUUCUAAAGUGAAAGAUGGUUUUGCUUUCACUUAUAGAUGGACCCGCGCCGUAUUAGCUAGUUGGUAAGGUAACGGCUUACCAAGGCGACGAUACGUAGCCGACCUGAGAGGGUGAGCGGCCACACUGGAACUGAGACACGGUCCAGACUCCUACGGGAGGCAGCAGUAGGGAAUCUUCCGCAAGGGGCGAAAGCCUGACGGAGCAACGCCGCGUGAGUGAUGAAGGGGUUCGGCUCGGAAAACUCUGUUAUUAGGGAAGAACAAACGUGUAAGUAACUGUGCACGUCUUGACGGUACCUAAUCAGAAAGCCACGGCUAACUACGUG
rnacentral:rRNA from 1 species